rnacentral:rRNA from 1 species
GACGAACCGUGCGAACGUUGUUCGGAAUCACUGGGCUUAAAGGGCGCGUAGGCGGCCUGCUUAGUCGGGGGUGAAAUCUUUCGGCUUAACCGGAAAAUUGCCUUCGAUACUGGCAGGCUCGAGCGAGGUAGGGGCGGAUGGAACUUCCGGUGGAGCGGUGAAAUGUGUUGAUAUCGGAAGGAACGCCGGUGGCGAAAGCGAUCCGCUGGACCUCUUCUGACGCUGAGGCGCGAAAGCCAGGGGAGCAAACGGGAUUAGAUACCCCAGUAGUCC